UUAAUCAUUUUGAAAGAUAUUUGUGAGAGAGGAGGAGGCCUCCUUGCUCCUAAGCUAUUUUUAAUAAUGGAGCUUCCGAAUCGACAAUCGGCUAUAUUAGACUUUAUCUAGCGUAUUUGAAGUAUUUAAAAAAUAAUUUUUACGAUUUUUCAUAUUAUUUAUCUAGCGAUUGAAAGGGUUCAAAAUCAACGGCUAAAAUAAAAAUCUCAAAAGAAGUGAUGAUAUAGCACUAAAAUUUUCUAUCAAAGGUAUUGAUCUUGCAGUAAAUAGUAUAAAAUAUUUUCAUACAAAAUUUUAUUUAAUUUGAAUAUUUUUAUACUGUUAAACUUGCAAACGGUAUACAUCAACCAUUAAAAAUUGUUGAUUUUAGUGAGCUUUUGGAUUGGGGACGGAAACAUGGUGAGUUUUUGGAUGGACAGAUGGAGCGAACAGUG
rnacentral:lncRNA from 1 species